rnacentral:rRNA from 1 species
CACGUAGGCGGCGUAUCUAGUCAGAGGUGAAAGCCCGGGGCUCAACCCCGGAAUUGCCUUUGAUACUGGUAUGCUUGAGUUCGGAAGAGGGUAGUGGAAUUCCAAGUGUAGAGGUGAAAUUCGUAGAUAUUUGGAAGAACACCGGUGGCGAAGGCGGCUACCUGGUCCGAUACUGACGCUGAGGUGCGAAAGCGUGGGGAGCGAACA